UACAGAGGUCUCAAGCGUUGUUCGGAUUCAUUGGGCGUAAAGGGUGUGUAGGCGGUUCUUUAAGUUUGGUGUGAAAUCUCCCGGCUCAACUGGGAGGGUGCGCCGAAUACUGAGGGACUAGAGUACGGGAGAGGAAAGUGGAAUUCCUGGUGUAGCGGUGAAAUGCGUAGAUAUCAGGAGGAACACCGGUGGUGUAGACGGCUUUCUGGACCGUAACUGACGCUGAGACACGAAAGCGUGGGUAGCAAACAGG
rnacentral:rRNA from 1 species